rnacentral:piRNA from 1 species
UGGCCUUCCUAACACAGUACAUGUGAUC